GACGAACGCUGGCGGCGUGCUUAACACAUGCAAGUCGAACGGAAAGGCCCUGCUUUUGUGGGGUGCUCGAGUGGCGAACGGGUGAGUAACACGUGAGUAACCUGCCCUUGACUUUGGGAUAACUUCAGGAAACUGGGGCUAAUACCGGAUAGGAGCUCCUGCUGCAUGGUGGGGGUUGGAAAGUUUCGGCGGUUGGGGAUGGACUCGCGGCUUAUCAGCUUGUUGGUGGGGUAGUGGCUUACCAAGGCUUUGACGGGUAGCCGGCCUGAGAGGGUGACCGGCCACAUUGGGACUGAGAUACGGCCCAGACUCCUACGGGAGGCAGCAGUGGGGAAUAUUGCACAAUGGGAGGAAGCCUGAUGCAGCAACGCCGCGUGCGGGAUGACGGCCUUCGGGUUGUAAACCGCUUUCGCCUGUGACGAAGCGUGAGUGACGGUAAUGGGUAAAGAGGCACCGGCUAACUACGUG
rnacentral:rRNA from 1 species